GGAGAAUAAAAGCAAAGCAAUAUUUAUCCUUUCAGUUAUGGAAUCACAGCACUGAAAGAGAAAGCUUGGCGCUGCUUGCUUAUUUUCCAAAGCCAGCUUUAUCUGUUCUUAUUCUGAAUUCCUCAUAACAAUUUUUCACUUUCCAGCUUCUUAAUGGCAAUCUCUACUUUAUUUGCACCUGUUAAUUCUCUUAAUCCUAUCACUCCUCCUACUUCUUCCUCUUCUUCUUUGAUUCCUUUCAAAAUUCAUCACCACCGCUUCAUGACGGCUCAAAACAGCUCAAAUGGACGGUUGGCGAUUCAGUGCUGUCAUGAAACGGGUCCGUCCUCGGAUCCCAUGACUCUCAGCAGGCAGACCCAAAUGUCAACUAUGACUGCCUUUGGAGUGAAUGAAACUGGCUCUUCUAGACCAUCUUACAAAUGGCAAAGAGUGUUGCUUAAAGUAAGUGGAGAAGCACUUGCCGGAGAUAAUAUGCAAAAUAUUGACCCAAAGAUCACAAUGGCUAUUGCAAGGGAGGUUGCAUCAGUGACACGCCUGGGGAUAGAGGUUGCAAUUGUGGUCGGUGGGGGAAAUAUAUUCCGUGGAUCCUCUUGGGCAGGAAGUAGUGGCCUUGACCGUUCAUCUGCUGACUACAUUGGUAUGUUGGCCACAGUUAUGAAUGCUAUAUUUCUUCAAGCAACUAUGGAGAGUAUUGGCAUUCCAACCAGGGUUCAGACUGCAUUUCGCAUGUCAGAGGUUGCAGAACCAUAUAUUCGUCGACGGGCUGUCAGGCAUUUGGAAAAAGGAAGAGUUGUGAUUUUUGCAGCUGGAACUGGGAAUCCAUUCUUCACCACAGAUACAGCUGCAGCCCUGCGUUGUGCAGAAAUUAAUGCAGAGGUAGUGUUGAAAGCUACAAAUGUUGAUGGGGUCUAUGAUGAUGAUCCUAGGUGUAAUCCAAAUGCUCGUCUUCUUGAAACUCUAACUUACCAUGAGGUGACUUCGAAAGAUCUUUCGGUGAUGGACAUGACUGCCAUUACUUUGUGCCAAGAAAAUAAUAUCCCUGGUAUGUUUAUAUACUCUGCAUCAACACAUAGGUAGAGCCACCUUUUCCAUUUUUCCAUUUUCCUCUUUCCUCUAUAUACUGGUGAGCCUUAGGUAAUGGUAAGAUUACUCCUUUGUGUCCAAAAGGUCAUGAGUUUGAGUCAUGGAAAUAGAAUUUCUGCAGAAAAAAGGGAAAAGUAGGGGAAAAGCUGCAUGUGAUAGACGACCUUUUGAUUGAAGCUCACAUAGCAGGGAAACCCUGUGCAUUAGUGAUUUAUUUUUUUUCCCCCUCUAUCAAGGUGUCAAAGGCUCUUUGAGCAUUUGACUCAUCUUGAGGUGAAAUCCCUUGUCUAACAGGUACUAUGAAAAUUACUUAGACAAAUCCUUUCGAUGGCCACUAAAAAGGAUUUCAUGUGGUUUUGAACAUGCGCUAAUGCUUCUCGAGAUGCCUGAAUCAAGGACUCAACCACUCAGGGCUCUUGGGGGGGCUUUGGAGUGGUAGUAUGGACAAGAUUAACUAUUCAUUUUUUUUGCGGAUGAGUUUGUGGAUGAAAUGGUCGCUCUACUCGAGCCACCAAACCAGCUUCUACUCGAGAAGCCCAGGAGCUCAAAAUUGUUAUGAAUGCAGUAUAAAAUGACCCCUGAUCUUUUUGCAACUAAUAUUGACUUUUUUUUUCCUUAUUUUUUUCACUUUAUUUAUUGCCAGAAAACCUUUAGCAGCAUCUAUAAGUUGAUUGGUAUCUCUAUCCUGCUAACCUUACAGGCACUGAUUGUACUCAACUUCUUGUUGCAGUUGUUGUCUUCAAUCUGUCCAAAUCUGGUAACAUCUCAAAAGCAAUAAAGGGGGAAAGAGUUGGGACAUUGAUUGGAGGGGCGUCAAACACAGCAGUGGCAAGGACAUGAUAUUGCUGAAUGUCAUUUGCUUGGUGGCUUCUCUUGAUUCAUUGUAGGAGUUUAGAUUAGAGAGUAUCUAAAUUUAUGCUAAAGGAUUCAACCCUGGAAGCAUCCUGGAAUUUUAUUUGGAAUUUGGAGAUAGGAGCAUGAUUCAAAGUUUUUAGGUAAGGCAUCUAAAUUUCAAAUUGACUAAUUGAGAUACUUGUUUCAGUUGGUGCCGAAAAUGGUUUGGUCAAAUAUUGUAUAUCUUUUGAACAACUGAAUUUUAACGUCUACUUUAGAGAAAAUAUGGUAAACAACUCCAUAAUUUUGAUGGACAAGUCAAUUGGUUAAUAAUGCACAAGUUAUUUUUAUAAAAUAUUUAAUACGUGUUCUUUUCUUUAA
rnacentral:misc_RNA from 1 species